rnacentral:rRNA from 1 species
AUUGAACGCUAGCGGGAUGCUUUACACAUGCAAGUCGAACGAGUGGCGGACGGGUGAGUAAUAUCUCGGAACGUGCCCAGUAGCGGGGGAUAACUACUCGAAACAGUGGCUAAUACCGCAUACUAUUGGAUCUGCCCAUAUCGGAUUAGCUAGUUGGUGGGGUAACGGCUCACCAAGGCAACGAUCCGUAGCUGGUCUGAGAGGACGACCAGCCACACUGGGACUGAGACACGGUCCAGACUCCUACGGGAGGAAGCAGUGGGGAAUUUUGGACAAUGGGCGAAAGCCUGAUGCAGCCAUGCCGCGUGUAUGAGAAGGCCUUCGGGUUGUAAAGUACUUUUAGCAAGGAAGCGGUAUCUGCAGAAUAAGCACCGGCUAACUACGUGCCAGCAGCCGCGGUAAUUC